GAUGAACGCUGGCGGCGUGCCUAACACAUGUAAGUCGAACGGUGAUCUUCACUUUUAGUGAGGGGAUCAGUGGCGAACGGGUGAGUAACACGUAGGUGACCUGCCCUAGAGAGGAGAAUAACCAUGCGAAAGCGUGGCUAAUACUCCGUAUGGUCGGCUAUUCAUUUAGUCGAUUAAAGCUUCGGCGCUCUGGGAGGGGCCUGCGGCCCAUCAGCUAGUUGGUAGGGUAAUGGCCUACCAAGGCUAUGACGGGUAGCUGGUCUGAGAGGACGAUCAGCCACAAUGGGACUGAAACACGGCCCAUACUCCUACGGGAGGCAGCAGUGAGGAAUAUUGGACAAUCGACGAAAGUCGGAUCCAGCAACGCCGCGUGGAUGAUGAAGGCCUUCGGGUUGUAAAAUCCUUUUAAGAGGGAAGAGUAAGGACGGU
rnacentral:rRNA from 1 species